ACCUUACCUACCCUUGACAUGCCAGGAACCUCCCGGAGAUGGGAGGGUGCCCGAAAGGGAACCUGGGCACAGGUGCUGCAUGGCUGUCGUCAGCUCGUGUCGUGAGAUGUUGGGUUAAGUCCCGCAACGAGCGCAACCCUUGCCAUUAGUUGCCAUCAUUAAGUUGGGCACUUUAAUGGGACUGCCGGUGACAAACCGGAGGAAGGUGGGGAUGACGUCAAGUCCUCAUGGCCCUUAUGGGUAGGGCUUCACACGUCAUACAAUGGUCGGUACAGAGGGUUGCGAAGCCGCGAGGUGAAGCUAAUCCCAGAAAACCGAUCGUAGUCCGGAUCGCAGUCUGCAACUCGACUGCGUGAAGUCGGAAUCGCUAGUAAUCGCGGAUCAGCAUGCCGCGGUGAAUACGUCCUCCCGGGC
rnacentral:rRNA from 2 species